GAUGAAGAACGUAGCGAAAUGCGAUAAGUAAUGUGAAUUGCAGAAUUCAGUGAAUCAUCGAAUCUUUGAACGCGCAUUGCGCCCUAUGGUAUUCCGUAGGGCAUGCCUGUUCGAGCGUCAUUACAACCCUCAAGCUCUGCUUGGUAUUGGGCGUCGUCCCCUAAACGGACGUGCCUCAAAGACCUCGGCGGUGGCGUCUUUGCCUCAAGCGUAGUAAUAUUUUUAUCUCGCUUUGGAGUCGAAGGCGUCGCCCGCCGGACGAAACCUUUAUUUUUUCUAUCAAGGUUGACCUCGGAUCAGGUAGGGAUACCCGCUGAACUUAAGCAUAUCAAUAAGCGGAGGA
rnacentral:misc_RNA from 1 species